GGAGGAGUACCCAAGUGGUUAUAAGGGGGCGCACUUGAAAUGCGUUAGGACGUUUAGAAGACGUUGCAGGGGUUCAAAUCCCUUCUCCUCCG
rnacentral:tRNA from 1 species